rnacentral:snRNA from 1 species
GCCCAAAGUCGCACGUGCCUGUGGGUGUCCGCCGACCCUCGAUUAGGUGAGGUUAUCGGUAAGGUACCUGGAACUAACCCCUCCAGUCGCUAUUCCGGCCAACCGGGAAAUGCGAGGACAUCUUGAAGCAACGACGGUGCGGGCCUUUCUGGUGUCUGCCGGCUCUCCAACAGCCGGGGUU